rnacentral:rRNA from 1 species
UACAGGGGGGGCAAGCGUUGUUCGGAAUUACUGGGCGUAAAGGGUUUGUAGGUGGCCACUUAAGUCAGACGUGAAAUCCCUCAGCUUAACUGGGGAACUGCGUCUGAUACUGCGUGGCUUGAGUGCAGGAGAGGAACGCGGAAUUCCAGGUGUAGCGGUGAAAUGCGUAGAUAUCGUAAGGAAGACCAGUGGCGAAGGCGAAUCUCUGGACAGUUACUGACACUGAGGCACGAAGGCCAGGGGAGCAAACGGG